rnacentral:rRNA from 1 species
GACGAACGCUGGCGGCGUGCCUAAUACAUGCAAGUAGAACGCUGAAGGAGGAGCUUGCUUCUCUGGAUGAGUUGCGAACGGGUGAGUAACGCGUAGGUAACCUGCCUGGUAGCGGGGGAUAACUAUUGGAAACGAUAGCUAAUACCGCAUAAUAUUGACUAUUGCAUGAUAGUCAGUUGAAAGGUGCAACUGCACCACUACCAGAUGGACCUGCGUUGUAUUAGCUAGUUGGUGGGGUAACGGCUCACCAAGGCGACGAUACAUAGCCGACCUGAGAGGGUGAUCGGCCACACUGGGACUGAGACACGGCCCAGACUCCUACGGGAGGCAGCAGUAGGGAAUCUUCGGCAAUGGACGGAAGUCUGACCGAGCAACGCCGCGGGAGUGAAGAAGGUUUUCGGAUCGUAAAGCUCUGUUGUAAGAGAAGAACGAGUGUGAGAGUGGAAAGCUCACACUGUGACGGUAUCUUACCAGAAAGGGACGGCUAACUACGUG